rnacentral:rRNA from 1 species
CCUACGGGUGGCAGCAGUGAGGAAUAUUGGUCAAUGGGCGGGAGCCUGAACCAGCCAAGCCGCGUGAAGGAAGAAGGCGCCAGGCGUCGUAAACUUCUUUUGUCGGGGAACAAAGGGCGCCACGCGUGGCGUUGUGAGUGUACCCGAAGAAAAAGCAUCGGCUAACUCCGUGCCAGCAGCCGCGGUAAUACGGAGGAUGCGAGCGUUAUCCGGAUUUAUUGGGUUUAAAGGGUGCGCAGGCGGGCCUUUAAGCCGGCGGUGAAAUCGCGGGGCUCAACCCCGCCGAGCCGUCGGAACUGGGGGCCUUGAGUGCGGCGGAGGCAUGCGGAAUGCGCGGUGUAGCGGUGAAAUGCAUAGAUAUCGCGCAGAACCCCGAUUGCGAAGGCAGCGUGCCGUGCCGCCACUGACGCUGAGGCACGAAAGCGCGGGGAUCGAACAGGAUUAGAUACCCCAGUAGUC